UGAGGAAUAUUAGUCAAUGGGCGAGAGCCUGAACCAGCCAAGUCGCGUGAAGGAAGACAGUCCUAAGGAUUGUAAACUUCUUUUAUACGGGAAUAACGGGCGAUACGAGUAUUGCAUUGAAUGUACCGUAAGAAUAAGCAUCGGCUAACUCCGUGCCAGCAGCCGCGGUAAUACGGAGGAUGCGAGCGUUAUCCGGAUUUAUUGGGUUUAAAGGGUGCGUAGGUUGUUCGGUAAGUCAGCGGUGAAACCUGAGCGCUCAACGUUCAGCCUGCCGUUGAAACUGCCGGGCUUGAGUUCAGUGGCGGCAGGCGGAAUUCGUGGUGUAGCGGUGAAAUGCAUAGAUAUCACGAGGAACUCCGAUUGCGAAGGCAGCUUGCCAUACUGCGACUGACACUGAAGCACGAAGGCGUGGGUAUCAAACAGG
rnacentral:rRNA from 1 species